UACGUAGGGUGCGAGCGUUGUCCGGAAUUAUUGGGCGUAAAGGGCUCGUAGGCGGUUUGUCGCGUCGGGCGUGAAAACACACAGCUUAACUGUGUGCUUGCUUCCGAUACGGGCAGACUAGAGGUAUGCAGGGGAGAACGGAAUUCCUGGUGUAGCGGUGAAAUGCGCAGAUAUCAGGAGGAACACCGGUGGCGAAGGCGGUACUCUGGGCAUUACCUGACGCUGAGGAGCGAAAGUGUGGGGAGCGAACAGG
rnacentral:rRNA from 1 species